CCUACGGGAGGCAGCAGUGGGGAAUAUUGCACAAUGGGGGAAACCCUGAUGCAGCGACGCCGCGUGAGUGAAGAAGGAAUUCGGUACGGACAGCUCUAUCAGCAGGGAAGAAAAUGACGGUACCUGAGUAAGAAGCCCCGGCUAACUACGUGCAAGCAGCCGCGGUAAUACGUAGGGGGCAAGCGGUAUCCGGAUUUACUGGGUGUAAAGGGAGCGUAGACGGUGCACCAAGUCUGGAGUGAAAUGCAGCAGCUUAACUGCGGAACUGCGUUGGAAACUGGCGAACUAGAGUGCGGGAGGGGUAAGCGGAAUGCCUAGUGUAGCGGUGAAAUGCGUAGAUAUUAGGAGGAACACCGGUGGCGAAGGCGGCUUUCUGGACCGUAACUGACGUUGAGGCUCGAAAGCGUGGGGAGCAAACAGGAUUAGAUACCCUUGUAGUC
rnacentral:rRNA from 1 species